ACAACUAUUUAAACAACUAUUUAAACAACUAGUAGUUUUAUUCAGUACGCGUAAUGGUAAUGGCUAGGCUCGCUUUAUUUUUACUUCUACUAGUUCAUGUGCACUCGCACAGUUUGCCAACAUCUCUUAGAUUUGGGUAUGACACCGGUAGUUAUAUGAUGCUGCAACUGGACAUGGAACCGGUAAAGGAAGCCAUUUCGGUCUGUUCGUGGAUCAACAAGAAAACAGCUGAUGGUACUCAUGAUGCCUGGUUCACGUACAAUGCACCUUCCAAGAUGAAUGAGAUCUUAAUUGCAGGCAGGAUAAGGGGCUGGGCUUUCAUGAACAAGGACCAUAUAGAGAACGGCCAGGCCUUUCCUUCAAAUGAAUGGCACCACCUCUGCAUAACAUGGGGUUAUGACUUAUGAGACUAAGACCAGGGUAUUAUAUUUUGAUGGGCAGGUAAUAGCACAGGAAGCAUCUGGUGACGUAAAACUGACCAUGGGAGGAACAAUAGCUAUAGGACAGAACCACCAGAAGGCGACAAUGGAAGCUAUAUUCCACAAGGGAUAUUCUUUCGGAGGUGAACUCCUAAAGCUGAACGUCUACAAAAGGCAACUGGAAGCUGGGGAAGUAAGCCAAAUGUUCUCAUCGGGAAUGUGCUCAGACUUCGAGGAUUCUCUUGUGGGAGAGGCUUUCUUGCGGUGGGAGACCAUCCUCUACGCUACUGAGAGGCACGGAACGAUCACUGAAGAGCGGAUUACAUGCCCUGGUGAUCCCUGGGACGUACUCUACCCGUCCGAGUUUUUCAAUAAUGUUGUGUCAAGUGAGAUACUAGAUAAACUACGAGACCAAUGGGAGGUUCUGGGAGAAUUCGUCGGUCACCGGAUCGACGAGGUCCUAGUGAAGCAUUUAAAGAAGCACCACUAGAUCAUAUCCUUGCUGAGAAGGAUCCUUGCUGAGAAGGAUCCUUGCUGAGAAGGAUCAUUGCUGAGAAGGAUCCUUGCUGAGAAGAAUCCUUGCUGAGAAGGAUCCUUGGUUGAUUGGAUCGGAGUAGGGAGGUGAAAUAAGAUGAACAUUGAACUGAUUAUUUUGUCCUGAAAAUGCUUUUUUGUGGCUUAAUUUAAUAAUUUUGAUUUACCAGUGCUUUAUCGGGGAAUAUUUCCCAAAAUAAAUUGAGCACUUGAUUUUUUAACUGAAACAUAUCUCGACUGGUUUUAUGUUUAUUUUGAAUCGAAUUCGUCAAUUAAAAGUAACAA